rnacentral:piRNA from 1 species
UGCAUGCCUCACCUGCAGACGCCUCACUCU